rnacentral:rRNA from 1 species
GACGAACGCUGGCGGCGUGCUUAACACAUGCAAGUCGAACGAAGAGCGAUGGAAGCUUGCUUCUAUCAAUCUUAGUGGCGAACGGGUGAGUAACGCGUAAUCAACCUGCCCUUCAGAGGGGGACAACAGUUGGAAACGACUGCUAAUACCGCAUACGAGCUAACCUCGGCAUCGAGGAUAGAUGAAAGGUGGCCUCUACAUGUAAGCUAUCACUGAAGGAGGGGAUUGCGUCUGAUUAGCUAGUUGGAGGGGUAACGGCCCACCAAGGCGAUGAUCAGUAGCCGGUCUGAGAGGAUGAACGGCCACAUUGGGACUGAGACACGGCCCAGACUCCUACGGGAGGCAGCAGUGGGGAAUCUUCCGCAAUGGACGAAAGUCUGACGGAGCAACGCCGCGUGAGUGAUGACGGCCUUCGGGUUGUAAAGCUCUGUUAAUCGGGACGAAAGGCCUUCUUGCGAAUAGUUAGAAGGAUUGACGGUACCGGAAUAGAAAGCCACGGCUAACUACGUG